rnacentral:ncRNA from 1 species
UAUCUUUACAAAAAUUUUGGUUUCCAGCAUAUUUGGAAUUAAUAGGGAAUUGGGUGUAAGCCCCAAACUGUCCCCGCAACUGUAAAUCGCAAUAAGAAAUUCUACGAAGAACCACUGUACAUACGGGAAGGUGUAGAAAGCGAAAGUCAGGAGACCUGCCAGAAUUAUAAUCAAAAA